GAUGAACGCUGACAGAAUGCUUAACACAUGCAAGUCAACUGUGGCGGACGGGUGAGUAACGCGUAAAGAACAUGCCUCACAGAUAGGGACAACAUUUGGAAACGAAUGCUAAUACCUGACACUGUGAGAGAGCUUUGCGUCCCAUUAGCUAGUUGGAGAGGUAACGGCUCACCAAGGCGAUGAUGGGUAGCCGGCCUGAGAGGGUGAUCGGCCACAAGGGGACUGAGACACGGCCGUUAGUCAUACGGGAGGCAGCAGUGGGGAAUAUUGGAGAAUGGACCAAAGUCUUAUACAGCAAUUCUGGGUGAAAGAUGAAGUUUUCGGAAUGUAAAGUGCUUUCAGUUGGGACGCAGUACCAACAGAAGAAGUGACGGCUAAAUACGUGCCAGCAGCCGCGGUAAUUC
rnacentral:rRNA from 1 species